UUCAUAGAAUUGCAGCAGCGGCGUGGAGGAAGACCAAAGCGUCGGUGUUGCAAUUUUCAUCCAAAAUUCUAGAGGCAAUGAAGCUCUCCUUCUCAAUCCCUAAAUCGGCCGCCAAAUCCACAUCUAAACCUAAACCUUCCUCUGAAUCCAAUACUGUUAGCCAAAACAGUGGCGCUGUAAAAGAAUAUGUCACUGAAUUUGAUCCCUCAAAAACCCUACCCAGUUCCAAUCGGAAUCUCAUCAUCCCCCCUAAAGAGAACGAAUGGACGCCUCACAAGCGUAUGAAGAACCUCGACCUCCUUCCCACUCUCAAAUCCGACAACGAAGGCCUUCGCUUCGAGAUCGCCACCGAUGGCCACGGCGAGGACGAUAAGAGUAUGUCCUACGGUCUCAAUAUACGGCAGCAAAGCAGCACUGACGGGGACAGUGGCGAUGGUGACGAAGGAGUCAAAUCUUACCAGAAAGUCGAAACUACUGAGAAUUUGUUGUUGGAGAAGUUGAAGUACGAUCUCCAGCGGUUGCCUGAGGAUCGAGGAUUUGAGGAGUUUAAGGAUGUACCGGUGGAAGGGUUUGGCGCGGCUUUACUGGCUGGCUAUGGUUGGCAUGAAGGCAGAGGUAUCGGAAGAAAUGCUAAGGAAGAUGUUAAAGUCAAGCAAUACCACAAAAGGACUGAUAAAGAAGGUUUGGGUUUUGUUCCUCCUGCUUCUAAUGCUACUAGUACUAGUGUUAAGGAUAGAGACGGGCAAGACGAGAGGAAAAGAGAAAGAGUUAAGGACGGACAUAGUGAUGGUUUCUUUGUUGGUAAAGAUGUCAGGGUUAUUGCCGGUGGAAAAGGCAUUUUGGGUUCAAAGGGUAGAAUUUCAAAGAGACUAGAUGAUGGUCGGGUUGUUGUCAAACUUUCAGAAACAACGGAGGAACUAAAACUGCGUGUUUCUGAUAUUGCUGAUUUGGGCUCUAAGGAAGAAGAGAAGUGCUUAAUGAAGUUAAAAACGUUACAGAUAGAAGGAAAGCAAUCAAAGGAUAGGGACAAUGGAAAGCGCAUUAUUGAACCAACUAGAGAAAGCGGAGAAAGUAUGAGGAGAGACAGCGGUCAAGCGAAGGAUGACAGAAAGCGAUGGCUCAGCAAUCACAUUCGGGUCAGAAUUAUAAGCAAGGACCUGAAAGGAGGCAGAUUUUAUUUGAAGAAGGGGGAGGUGGUAGAUGUGGUUGGACCUUAUGUAUGUGAUAUAUCGAUUGAUGAGACUAAGGAAUUGGUACAGGGAAUAGAUCAGGAUCUUCUUGAGACUGCUUUACCACGGCGUGGGGGUCCUGUCCUUGUUCUCUACGGGAGGCACAAGGGAGUAUAUGGGAAAUUGGUUCAGAGGGAUUUGGACCAAGAGACUGGGAUUGUGCAAGAUUCUGAUACUCAAGAAUUGCUCAAUGUCAAACUUGAACAAAUUGCAGAGUAUGUUGGAGAUCCCAGCUACAUUGGAUAUUGAUGCUCCUGCAUCUCCAGUCCAUGCUGCCAAUAGAUAUAUUUGAGGAGACCUGGACCAUGGCAUUUGUAGAGAAAACACAACAGCUUACUUGGUAUACUUGGGAUGAAUCCCCAACAACCUACAAGUCUCAAAGUGAUGUCUGGAAGGUCUGCUGGAUGCAAUAAUAUCUGGUACCGAUGAUCUUCCUCUAGCAUGAUCUAUCAGAUAACACCCUGCUCGCAUGAUUCAAAUAUGGUUACGAAGGGGGUUGUCAUCAUCGUUGAAGUUGAAGUGCUUGUCUGUCUUUUCUCUAGCGCUUCCAACAUCAACUCCCCUGUAGGCAGUAGUCAUGUUUAAUGAUGAAGAUAUGUAGUCAGUUCUUCAACUGUGAAAGGAAUAACUUCAGGAGGCUGGCUGUGGAACCUGUGAUGAGCCUGCUGAUUGCAGUCUUGUUCUGUUGAUGUAACUGUGAAAGCAGACAUAGAAUCCAUUCUUUGGCGUUUGUUACAUGCCCAGGAAUUUUAUGGGUAGUUAAAGUAACGUGCAAUGGGGGUGAAAAUUUACUUAACAUUAUAAUCCAAAUAACCUUGUAUGAUUUGCUCGCACUUGAAUUCUAUCCUAAAACUAACUUCUUUUC